CCUACGGGUGGCAGCAGUGGGGAAUAUUGGGCAAUGGGCGCAAGCCUGACCCAGCAACGCCGCGUGAAGGAAGAAGGCUGUCGGGUUGUAAACUUCUUGUAAGAGGGAAGAGCAGAAGACGGUACCUCUUGAAUAAGCCACGGCUAACUACGGGCCAGCAGCCGCGGUAAUACGUAGGUGGCAAGCGGUGUACGGAUUUACUGGGUGUACAGGGCGGGCAGCCGGGAAGACAAGUCAGAUGUGAAAGCCCGCGGCUCAACCGCGGAACUGCAUUUGAAACUGUUUUUCUUGAGGACCGGAGAGGUCAUCCGCAUUCCUUGUGUAGCGGUGACAUUCGUCGAUAUAAGG
rnacentral:rRNA from 1 species